GAAACGCAUGAGAGUGUCGCGCCAGACGCAGCAGCACCAGCUGUGCCUCUGGGAUGUCACCUUGGUGUUAGCCGCCGCCAGGUAGGCACGACAUACAGCCGUUACCGCAGAGCCUCCAUCCAAGGCAUAACCCGACAGCUCAGGUCCAGACUGCAGCCUGCAGCUGCACAAGUGUUUGUCAGCCAGUGCGUCACCAUCACCACGGUGAUCAGGACUGUAUCCCGUGGAGGCUCCGGUGCGAGCUCGGCUUCGGGACUGGAGUCUGCUCACCGUUACAGCUACCACCAGCCUGCUCCGUUUGAAGUCCAUGAGGGCGGAUUCACACUCUCUCACAACCGGAUCUGUGACUGCCAAGGAAGUCCCGUCUCACCACCACAGCAGGGCGUGCACCCACAGUCUCAGAUACCUCGAGGGUCCUACUGAAGGUAGGAGGAAGAGGAGUGCUGCUGAUUCUCCGUGAUAGAAGCCAAGAGGAAAUAACUGGAAGGAGUAAUGGGAUGUCUUUCGAUUCCGGUCCAAAAAACAGUCGGCUGUAGCAGCAGUGGGAGCACCGAUGAGGUCGGUCAGAUCGGGGGAGAGCCGGGACCACAAACUCAAGAUGAGCCCGGUCGGCUCCCGCGGUCCCGGCGGCGGACUGGCCGACCGUCGGCGCAGUGUUGUCGGGCAGAGCCGACAGGAAGAAGCGCUCGUCCUUGAAGCAAGCACAGGACCGUGCAGCUGGACAACUCAGAGCGAAGCAUUCAUCGCGCCGACCUGUCCAUCCAACCGACAGGUGAAGAUGUGUUUUUUUUGUUUGUUUGUUUGUUUUGUCUUUACAGAACCGGAGGAUGAAGAUGAAGAGGCAGCUGUGUAAGGGGAGCUGCGGGUCGUGCGGCGUCAGCUCAACAUAUGACGGACUGAAGAGGACCAAGUGAAACACCAAAACGCAAAGAGGAUGACGAAGACGGCGGUGUGAGAUGUGAUUAACUGAACGUGUUACGUUGCGGUUUUACAAACCUUUGUGGGCGCGCGAGCACACACACACACACACACAGUUUACACACAAUGGCUUGAGAUGCAACGCUGGCCGUUUGGCAUGACAUCAGUCAUUUGAUCAAAGCCUAAAUAUUAUGUCGUCAGACAGGAUAUCCUAAACUUCUUAUACUUUAUUGUUUAUUUAAGGGGCAUAGUGGAGAGAGGACAGUUAGACGGGGCCUCACGGAGAUAAAUCAUCACGUGAAUAUAAGCGUUCGGAGAUCCUGGCUGACACUUCCAGAUGAAGACGUGCUCAUUUUUGAUUAUGAAGAUAAAAGCCAGACAUUUUUAAUGCGGACUCUUGCGCUGGGCUGAGGUGUGUCGGCCGAGAAGGAGGAGGAGACGGCUUCAGAAGAACAUUUUAGGCUUCAUAUACUGGUGGGUGGGACACUGACCUGUUGUUUUGACGGCUUUUCUGAUUCCCUUUCUUGUGUUCCAGCACCUCCAUACACCGUCUUUCCCAAUAUAAAUCCAAAGCGCUUUGUACUUAACCUCAUUAAAUUAUAUUUGACUUUCAUCUCCCAUCCAGACAACGUGGACUCAGUCCGCCUGUCUUCAUCUAAUGGUGAGUGUGUGCCUUUUUUUUCUGUGCAUCAGACAGGAGGUUGUUGAGUAAAAGGCCACUGAUUGUUUACAGUAUGAUGGCUGCCGAUUUGCAGUGGUGGCUAUUUAUUAUUCAUUCACUCAUGUCUGAAAGACGUGAAGGAAGCAGGGCUGUAGCCAGAAAGGUCACAGUGCACCAUUGUUUAAUUAUUUGGAUUUUUCACAUUUUAUGUCUUAAAUCGACAUUUUAGUUUCUGUGAAUUUUACUUCCCAACAUGUAAAUAGUUUCAAAGCCUUCUUAAAAUUCUGGACUAGUCUUCUAUUAGCCUCAUACAUAAAAAUAUGAGAGAAUUGAUUGAUAUA